GCGUUCGUAGCUCAGUUGGUUAGAGCGUCGUUGGUUCGAGUCCAAUUAAACGCACCA
rnacentral:tRNA from 1 species